CAACGAAUUUUUUUUAUCUCAACAGCUGUCCUGAGAGCAUGUCUCUACAUCUCUACCUGCAUUCUGGAAUCAGGGAGAAAGCCAAAACGGACGACAAGACACUAGAUCAGCCGUGUCCAACCCUUUGCCUACAAGGACUUUUCCACCUAUCUGUGGUGGAAACCCCUUGAGGUUAAGACCCCACAAUCACAUGAGGAUGGAGUGGCUCACCCUCAGUCAACAGGCCAGACUCAAGGGGUUCCUGGCAAGUCAUUUCUCCCUCAGGCCUUCGGUUUCCUCACCUACAAGAUGAGAGGGCUGGACCAGAUGGAAAUUCAGGGGGUAAGGG